AUUUGCAUAUUGGGGCAUUCAUGGCUUCCCACCCAGCCAAUCAUAUCUGAGUCCUGGCACAUUCAAAUUUGCAUAUUGUUGCCUUCAUGGCUUCCCAGCCAGCCAAUCAUAUCUGAGUCCUGGCACAUUCAAAUUUGCAUAAUUGGGCAUUCAUGGCUUCCCAGCCAGCCAAUCAUAUCUGAGUCCUGGCACAUUCAAAUUUGCAUAUUGGACCUUCAUGGCUUCCCAGCCAGCCAAUCAUAUCUGGUCCUGGCACAUUUAAAUUUGCAUAUUGGGACCUUCAUUGCUUCUAAGCCCACCAAUCAUCUAUGUCAUAUAUCUCUAAUAUUUCAUAUUUGUAUUUUAAAUGGUCAACAUUUCAAGAUUCUCCCAUGUCUUCUGAACAAAACGGUCUCAGAAUGACUGUUUUAGCCCCUACGGUUAGGUAUUUAUGGCUGUUUGUUUGAGGGGAGUCCUCACUAUGAGAAAUAGACUGCAAAAAUCCUGUCUCUCUCUGUGCUGCAUGUGUAAAAGCCUGCACUUGGUGCACCAGUUUUGGUGGGAAAAAGCACACAACCUCUCUGAUUGGUGGAUUCAAAUUGAGAAGCUCACAGCUGUUUGACUGACCUAGAAACAUGCUGUUAACAGCCCCUGUUCACUUGCUGCUGCUGCUGCUGUGUGUGUGUGUGUGUGUGUGUGUGUGUGUGUGUGAGAGAGAGAGAGAGAGAGAGAGAGAGAAAGACACACACAAAGCCCUUUUUAGGGCAGCAUCUCAUUGGUGGAUAAAAAUAUAAUAUAUUCAGACUGGUUGACUGGCAUAGACCCUGUUGUGUGUGUCUCUCACUGUACAUUUGUGUAUCCAUAUUUGAUUUCUGUGUAUUUGUGAUUGUGUAUCCAUAUUUGAUUUGUGUAUCUGUUGGCUUUCUUAUUUUUUUUUUUCUAAAUGAAUUUUAUUUAUUUUUUCACAGGUGAACAAAAAUUAGUUUUGAGCGAACUUAACCAUGUUCCUUUUUAUUCAGCUUAUCAUUUUACCUUUCCAAUAUUUUCACUUAAGUUAUUACUAUUCUGCUCAAUCAUAUAUCUGUUCUAAAUCAUUGUUAUUAAGCUAUAUUGUAGGAUUUCAGCUAAAUCAUAGUAUUUCUACUAUAUUAUAUUUUUCUUUCUAAAUAUAGCAUUUCUGCUAUAGAAUAGUGUUUCUGCUAUAUUAUAAUAUUUGUGCUAAACUGGAGUAUUUUGCUAAAACAUAGUAUUUAUAUAAAUUACAAUAUUCAUAGUAUAUUACAGUGUCUCUGGUAAAUCACAGCAUUUCUGCUAUGUUGUACUGUUUUUCUAAAUCAUAGUAUUUCUGUAAUGUUUAAGAAUGUUUGGCUAAAUAUAUUCUUUCUGUUAUCUUAUACUAUUUCUCCUAAAUUCUUGUAUUUUUGAGAAGUUAUCGUGUUUCUGGUAAGUUACAAUAUUUCUGCUAAGUUCUGCUAUGCUAUUGUAUUUCUGCCAAGUAUUAUGUUUCCUCUAAGAUAUUGCAGUUCUGCUAAGUUACUACAUUUUAGCAAAGUUCCUUUGCUUCUGCAAAGUUUUUACAAUUUCUGCAACUUUUCAGCUUUUCAGCUAGUUUCAGCAGAAAGCUUCAGCUUUAAAGCAUCCACACUGCAUUUUCGCAGGAAAUGCAAAUUUUUCUAGUUAUUAUGUGGAUCUAGCUCCACUAUUGAUUCUCUUGGCUUCCGUACACUUUUCGCCGUGGAUCUACUUCCACAAUUUUCAGCCGAUUUUCACCGUUCAAAUUUUAAACUAUUCUGCUAUUUCUGCUAUUCGGCUAUGUCUUUUGGUAUUUUACUAUUAUACUUUUUAAAAUAUUAAGUUUUCUUAAUUUGUCCCAUUGAAAUGAAUGGGAAACUUCUGCAAUUCUGCUAAAACUUGCUUGUUUUUGAAACUUAACUACUUUUUCCUACUUUCACGUAGAACAACCAUUCAA
rnacentral:lncRNA from 1 species